rnacentral:sRNA from 1 species
GCCCAAAGUCGCACGUGCCUGUGGGUGUCCGCCGUCCCCUCGUUCGGUGAGGAAAACGGUAAGGUACCUGGAGCCAACCACUCCAGUCGGUCAGACGGCCAACCGCCUGAACCGAGGACACCUUGAAGCAACGACGGUGCGGGCCUUU